GCUACCCACUCCAAUAAUCUUGCCUGGAGAAUUCCAUGGACAGAGGAGCCUGGUGGGCUACAGUCCAUGGGGUCAUAAAGAGUCACAACUAACACAGCAACAACAGAUAACAUUUACUUAUGUAUUAAAAGAUAGAAAAGACCAUGUAGGUUUAAAAGUAUCUAUGUUGUGGGGUCUCUUUGCUGGCCCAGUGAUUAAGACUCCUUGCUUCCACUCUAGGGGGCGAAGAUUUGAUCCCUGGUCCAGGAGCCAAAAUUCCACAUGCUGCAUGGCACAGCCAAAAAAAAAAAAAAAGUAUCCAUGCUGCUAAUAUUUCACAAAUGAAAAUCCAAUUUUGAAGACCUACUAAAGACAUUUCUACCAUAAUAUCAUAUGGCGUCUUUAUUAUCAUUUUAGUCACCAGUAUUCCUUUGAACAGUCUGCUGAGAAGAACGGUCAGAUGCACUCGUGUGAGAUUUGGAAGGUAGAAGGGCAUGCAGGCCAUGCUUCUGCCACUUGUGUGGUUUCUGUUGUUUUUCUACAGCUCUGAAACUGGAUAUGCCAUACAACAUGCUCUUCAUCUGGUCAGGAAGCAAAAGUAUUUUCCAAAGGACUGGGCUGCAUGUUACGUAAACUUCAGCAAGCAUCUGUGGACCCAUAGCUGAAUGAUGGGGGUCGGGGAGGAGGACAAGGGUGAGGGUGGAGAAGCUGCCUGAGAACCAGCCAGCAAAAGAACUAAAUGCUGUUGGCUAUUUCUUGGUACGUAAUUCAUUUUCAUUUUCCACACUUCAGGUAGAAUUGUUUAUAUUCUCCCUGGGUUUCAGAUGUGAAUACCUUAGAAGUACUUCCCUAAAAAUUAUAAAAUUAAAUUUAAAAAGUUGCAAAUUCUCUUCCAGCUGAGGAGAUUUCAAGGACUUGGAGGAAGCUAAUAAAAAGGGUGACAAGUGUGGACAUC